AACGAACGCUGGCGGCAGGCUUAACACAUGCAAGUCGAGCGCGUAGCAAUACGAGCGGCAGACGGGUGAGUAACGCGUGGGAAUCUACCGUAUCCUACGGAAUAGCUCUGGGAAACUGGAAGUAAUACCGUAUACGCCCUAACGGGGAAAGAUUUAUCGGGGUAUGAUGAGCCCGCGUUGGAUUAGCUAGUUGGUGGGGUAAAGGCCUACCAAGGCGACGAUCCAUAGCUGGUCUGAGAGGAUGAUCAGCCACAUUGGGACUGAGACACGGCCCAAACUCCUACGGGAGGCAGCAGUGGGGAAUAUUGGACAAUGGGCGCAAGCCUGAUCCAGCCAUGCCGCGUGAGUGAUGAAGGUCUUAGGAUUGUAAAGCUCUUUCACCGGAGAAGAUAAUGACGGUAUCCGGAGAAGAAGCCCCGGCUAACUUCGUGCCAGCAGCCGCCGUAAUAC
rnacentral:rRNA from 1 species